GACGAACGCUGGCGGCGUGCUUAACACAUGCAAGUCGAACGGAAAGGCCCUGCUUUUGUGGGGUGCUCGAGUGGCGAACGGGUGAGUAACACGUGAGUAACCUGCCCUUGACUUUGGGAUAACUUCAGGAAACUGGGGCUAAUACCGGAUAGGAGCUCCUGCUGCAUGGUGGGGGUUGGAAAGUUUCGGCGGUUGGGGAUGGACUCGCGGCUUAUCAGCUUGUUGGUGGGGUAGUGGCUUACCAAGGCUUUGACGGGUAGCCGGCCUGAGAGGGUGACCGGCCACAUUGGGACUGAGAUACGGCCCAGACUCCUACGGGAGGCAGCAGUGGGGAAUGUUGCACAAUGGGCGGAAGCCUGAUGCAGCAACGCCGCGUGGGGGAUGACGGCCUUCGGGUUGGAAACCGCUUUCGCCUGUGACGAAGCGUGAGUGACGGUAAUGGGUAAAGAAGCACCGGCUAACUACGUG
rnacentral:rRNA from 1 species